rnacentral:rRNA from 1 species
UUUUGACGUUACUGACAGAAGAAGCACCGGCUAACUCCGUGCCAGCAGCCGCGGUAAUACGGAGGGUGCGAGCGUUAAUCGGAAUUACUGGGCGUAAAGGGCGCGUAGGCGGUUGAGUAAGUCGGAUGUGAAAGCCCCGGGCUUAACCUGGGAAUUGCAUUCGAUACUGCUCGGCUAGAGUAUGGUAGAGGGAAGCGGAAUUCCGGGUGUAGCGGUGAAAUGCGUAGAUAUCCGGAGGAACACCAGUGGCGAAGGCGGCUUCCUGGACCAAUACUGACGCUGAAGCGCGAAAGCGUGGGGAUCAAACAGGAUUAGAUACCCUGGUAGUCCACGCCCUAAACGAUGAGAACUAGCCGUUGGGGGAAUUUAAUCCCUUAGUGGCGUAGCUAACGCG